rnacentral:tRNA from 1 species
GGAAUGUAGUUCAGUGGUAGGCUGCUUGCCUAGCAAGCAUGGAGCCCUGGGUUCCACUCCCAGAGCCA